AGUUGUGGCAUGCAACAUAUUGAGUACAGUUACAAGCAAAGCCCCAUGUGAAGAUUUCAUGAAAGCAAGAACUCAAAACGGGACUCUCAUCUGGGAGAAAUAUGGUAGACCUAUACAUACAUUUCAAACUGAGCUUUCACUCACCGUCCACCACUGCUGAUCACCGUCGUCGCAGACCCGCUGUUGACUUCUACCCCUCCGAUCUGGCAGGGUGUCCACUGCACUUCUGAUCCAGCGAGGCGGCGCCCAUUGCCACUCCCAGUCGGGCUAGAGGCUCACCAUUGUUCCUGCACAGGCUAAGUGCCUGGGGUUCAUCCUAAUCGAGCUGAACAGAGCUGUAACACUCACCGCAUGACCCAA
rnacentral:lncRNA from 1 species